UACGGAGGGGGCUAGCGUUGUUCGGAAUUACUGGGCGUAAAGCGCACGUAGGUGGCUUUGUAAGUUAGAGGUGAAAGCCCAGGGCUUAACCCUGGAAUUGCCUUUAAGACUGCAUCGCUAGAAUCGUGGAGAGGUAAGUGGAAUUCCGAGUGUAGAGGUGAAAUUCGUAGAUAUUCGGAAGAACACCAGUGGCGAAGGCGGCUCACUGGCCCGUUACUGACGCUCAGGCGCGACAGCGUGGGGAGCAAACAGG
rnacentral:rRNA from 1 species